UAAAAACAAUAUAGACGAUACUAUUACAAUAUAAAACUAAAAUAUAUAUAAUAUAUACACAGAUACAUAGAUAUACUUAGAUAUUAACCUUAGACAAAUGAGUCAAGAUUUUUAACUAGGUGGUUAAAAUAUUGAAUUCAACAAAAAAAAUCUAGUUACUUAAGUUACUUACAAUCUCAAUGAAAAAUAGAAACUUAGUUGGAUAAAAGUU